rnacentral:rRNA from 1 species
GACGAACGCUGGCGGCGUGCCUAACACAUGCAAGUCGAACGGAAAGGCGCUGCUUUUGCGGGGUGCUCGAGUGGCGCACGGGUGAGAAACACGUGAGUAUCCUGCCCUUGACUUUGUGAUAUCUUCAGGCAACUGCGGAUAAUACCGGAUAGGAGCUCCUGCUGCAUGGUGGGGGUUGGAAAGUUUCGGCGGUUGGGGAUGGACUCGCGGGUUAUCAGCUUGUUGGUGGGGUAGUGGCUUACCAAGGCUUUGACGGGUAGCCGGCCUGGGAGGGUGAACAGGCACCAGGGGACUGAGAGACGGCCCAGACGGGUACGUGAGGCAGCAGUGGGAAGUAUUGCACAAUGAGCGGAAGCGUGUUGCGGCGACGCCGCGAGCGUGAAGACGGCCUUCGGGUGGUGAACCGCUUUCGCCUGUGACGAAGCGUGAGUGACGGUAAUGGGUAAAGAAGCACCGGCUAACUACGUG